CCUACGGGGGGCUGCAGUGAGGAAUAUUGGUCAAUGGGCGGCAGCCUGAACCAGCCAUCCCGCGUGAAGGAAGAAUGCGCUAUGCGUUGUAAACUUCUUUUUCAGGGGGAUAAAAUUUUGUAUGUAUACAGAACUGAAGGUACCCUGAGAAUAAGCAUCGGCUAACUCCGUGCCAGCAGCCGCGGUAAUACGGAGGAUGCGAGCGUUAUCCGGAUUUAUUGGGUUUAAAGGGUGCGUAGGCGGAAUAAUAAGUCAGUGGUGAAACCCUGCAGCUUAACUGUAGACUUGCCAUUGAUACUGUUUUUCUUGAGUAUGGUCAAGGCAGGCGGAAUGUGUAAUGUAGCGGUGAAAUGCUUAGAUAUUACACAGAACACCGAUAGCGAAGGCAGCUUGCUGGGCCGUUACUGACGCUGAUGCACGAAAGCGUGGGGAUCGAACAGGAUUAGAUACCCGUGUAGUC
rnacentral:rRNA from 1 species